rnacentral:rRNA from 1 species
UCGAAGGUAGCAUAAUCAGUAGUCUUUUAAUUGAAGGCUUGUAUGAAUGGUUGGACGAAAUAUUAACUGUUUCAUUUAAAAUUUUUAUAGAAUUUUAUUUUUUAGUCAAAAAGCUAAAAUAUUAUUAAAAGACGAGAAGACCCUAUAAAUCUUAAUACUUAUAUUAUUUUAAUUAUAAAGAUUCAUUAAAUUAUAAUUUUUAUGGGUAUUUUAUUGGGGUGAUAUUAAAAUUUAAUAAACUUUUAAUUUUUAAAUAACAUUAAUUUAUGAAUAAUUGAUCCAUUAAUAAUGAUUAAAAAUUUAAGUUACUUUAGGGAUAACAGCGUAAUUUUUUUGGAGAGUUCAUAUUGAUAAAAAAGAUUGCGACCUCGAUGUUGGAUUAA